UUCUGAUCGUGCUGAUGAUCCCAGCCUCCUCAUAUUUACCUCGACCCCCCCCUUCAGUGUGGGACUGACUUACUUCUAAUGCAUAGUGUAGCAAAACUAAGCAGCUAUCGCUUUUGAAAGUAGGAUAUAAAAGACUGCAAGUUUCCUUUGCUUCGUAUUCUGUCUUGGUCUCUCCUCACUUGCUCCUUCUGAGAAGGUGACCUUCUGCACUGUGCACUGCACUCUGGUGAGACUCAAGUGUCAAGAAGUGAUAUAAAGACAACCUUCAGCUGGCAACCAGGAGGAUGUGGAAGCUUCUGUCCAAAGUUCCCUAAGGAACUGCAUCCUUUCCACAGCCACCCAGUGGUAUGAACUCAAAGUAAAUCUUCAUUCCAUUGAGCCUUGAAAUGAUUGCAGAUUUUAAAAAGCUCCUUAAAUGGGAGAAAUUGCUAAGCUGGACCUAGAUUUCUUAACCACGGAAGCCACAAGGAAGUAAAGUUUAUAGUUUGAAUCACUGUUGAGUUAGGGUUUGAAUUCAAUUUCUUCAAAAUUGAUGAAUACCAGAGUUUCCGUCAAGAGCAUUAAGGAUUCUGAGGCGCCAGUACCAGGUGUCAAGGGUUACAGCCACAUCUCUGUAUCAGACAUCCUGUGACAGGAGUGUUUCAAAGGGAAACACAAGAGGACAUUUGAAGAAACUCCUAAAAAUCAGUCAGUAGUUGCUUCUCUUCUUGACCUGCUUUCUUAUCUUAGUAAGUAUGUAGCAUGUAGCUGGAUAUGACUGUUUCUACAAUUUAUAUUUAAUAAAGAUGGUUACA